rnacentral:rRNA from 1 species
AUGCAAGUUGAGCGGCAAGGCGGGGUAACCCGCCCUAGAGCGGCGGACUGGUGAGUAACGCGUGGGUAAUCUACCUUGGGCAUGGGGAUAGCCACUAGAAAUAGUGGGUAAUACCGAAUACGUUCCACGGGGGAAGGGCUUGUGGAAGAAAGGGUGCUACGGCACUGGCCUGAGAUGAGCUCGCGUCCCAUUAGCUAGUUGGUGAGGUAACGGCCCACCAAGGCGAUGAUGGGUAGCCGGCCUGAGAGGGUGUACGGCCACACUGGGACUGAGAUACGGCCCAGACUCCUACGGGAGGCAGCAGCUAAGAAUAUUCCGCAAUGGACGGAAGUCUGACGGAGCGACGCCGCGUGGAUGAUGAAGGCCGAAAGGUUGUAAAGUUCUUUUGCUGGGGAAGAAUAAGCCUAGGAGGGAAUGCCUAGGUGAUGACAUGAACCGGCGAAUAAGCCCCGGCCAACUACGUGCCAGCAGCCGCGGUAA